GCCAUGGCUCAGUGGUUAGAGCACCUGCCUUGCAUGCAGAAGGGCCCAGGAUCAAUCCCCAGUAGCAUCU